GUGGGCCAGGCGAAGGUGCCACAGCGCGCGGCCCAGGCGCUGCUGCUGCAGCAGGAGCUGGCCCGGGGGCUCCCCGGCGCCGCCGUUUACAGGCGAGCGCAGGCCCAUGUUCUCGAAGUAGUGAGCCAGGAAGGCGAUCGGCUCCUCGGGCCGCGCCUCCAGCACCUUCAGCAGGGCCGCACGUAGCAUUUCCGUCACGCCGACCUGCCGCAGGAAGUCCUCCUCGCUCUCGGCCGCCCCCGCCGCCCGGGAUACCGACUGGCGGCCGCUGUCCGUGAAACCUGCCGGCGGUGCUACCGCUUGCCGCCGCUUCUCCACUGCCGCCAUCUUCGCUGAGGGCAGCGGGACCGGAAGUACCGCCAUAUUCCACUGUGGGCUAGAGCCCCCCCAAGGCGGCCAUCUUGAUUAAGGGCAGAGGGCACCGGUAUCCCACUGGGAGACUUUGGGAAGUGACAAGCGCCUACCUCUCCUGCCUCAGUCUCCGCAUCUGGGUGAAGGGCUUGGACCAGAACCUCUCCAAGCCCCUUCCCUGGACCACACUGCUGCAGUUUCGCUCUUGUCGCCCAGGCUGGAGUGCAGUGGUGUGAUCUCAGGUCACUGCAACUUCCACCUCACACGUUCAAGUGAGUCUACUGCCUCAGCCUUCCAAGUAGGUGGGACCACAGGCAUACGCCACCACGCCCGGCUAAUUUUUGUAUUUUUAGUAGAGACGAGAUUUUGCCAUGUCGGCCAGGCUGGUCUCAAACUCCUGACCUCAGGUGAUCCACCUGCCUCGGCCUCCCACAGUGCUGGGAUUACAGGCGUGAGCCCCCGCGCCCGGCCUUGUUUUAUGUUUCAUAUGAUUUAUUUU
rnacentral:antisense_RNA from 1 species